rnacentral:lncRNA from 1 species
CUCAGUUCUGAUUUCCUAAGUGUUCUCGUGUCUUUCUGCAGACAGUUCUUGUACCUGAGCCUGCAGGACAUCCUGAACUUCCACGUGGAUAAAGAUAAGGAGCAAUUGUCCUUCUACAAGGACUAUUACCGGGGCGAUAUUGUCAGAAGUUUCCAGGAGCAACUCAGUGAGAAGCAGAGUGAAGGUGAAGGAGGGCCCAGGGAGAGCCAGGACCCCCAAGAUGCUGCUGGGAAAGACCUAGGGAAAUACCUGAUACUAUUGCUGUUGCAAGUGAUGACCAUGUGUGAGAUACUGGUGUGUGCAGACCCUGGGUCUAGAGAGCUGACACCAUGAUCUCCUGAAAGACAUCACAACUACUGCUCUCCAUACUUCCCAUUGAGUCUCUAACCCAGACUGAUCAUGGGGAAAAUGUAAAUAUGGCCACCUGUGCACACACUCUCUCUCUACUUUUGAGAUGGGGGUCUAAUUUUGGAACUCACUAUAUAGCUUAGGCUAGCCUCAAAUUCAUGGCAGUUCUCCUGCCUCCAAGUGCUGGGAUUACAAGCUUGAACCACCACACCUGGCUUGUCUCUUUCUUAACCUUCCAACAGGGGAUGGGGAAAUGGCUCAGAGAAUAAAAGCACUUGCCUUGCAAACACAAGGACUGGCUUUUGGAUACCCAUCACUUACAUAAAAGCCAGGCUUGUGACACACACACACACACACACCCAAACAAACAAACAAACAAACAAACAAACAG